UAUAAGUAUGUGCCUAUUUGUAUACUUAUGUUUUGUUAAAAAAACUAGAGAUAAAUAGAAGUAUGUUAUUUAUGUAAAAAAGAAAGUAUUUUGUGCAUACCAUAAUUUUGAACGUAUAAUGAAUUUGUUAAUAUUCUACGUUUCUUUUUAUUAUUUUUUUUUAUUAUAUAUUAUAUAAUUAUUUUUUUCUUCUUAAAUAAAAAUGCAUAUAUUUAUAAUGUGUUUGUGUGUGUGUAUAUACAUAUAAAUAUAUUAGAGUAUAGGUACACAUACGUAUAACAAAAAAAAAAAAAAGAAUUAUAAAUUAUGAUGGUGUUUUAAUUUUUUUUUUUUUUUUUUUUUUUUUAUCUUAUUUCUUUUUAUUUUUUUUAUAUAUAAAAUUACCUAAGCUUAUGUUCAAUUAGAUAUGACAAAAAAUUGAGUAAAAAAAAAAAAAAAAAAAAAGAAAGAAAAAAAAAGAAGUAAUUAAGUUUGUAUAGAUAAGAAAAAAUUAAGCAUAUAGCACAAUCUGUCAUCAGAAUAAUUCACAUUACUGUAACUAAUUAAUUAAUUUUUAUAACGCAUAAUUACAAGUUAAAUAAGAAUCACAUUUAUGUUUUAAUUAUAAUAUAUAUAUAUAUAUAUAUAGAUUUAUACUUAUAUGAAAUACACACAUAUAUAUACACAUUAAUGUGGGUGUUAGUUAAUAUUAGCAUGUGUUAUUGUACAUUAUAUUAGUUGAAUUCUUUUUUUUUUUUUUUUUUGUGUGUUUUGUAAUAAUUAGCAACUCCUAUUUUUCAUUACAUAUACAAAUAUAUAUAUAUAUAUAUAUAUAUAUAUCUUGCUUUUUUUCAAUGCCUUUCCGUAUUUGCAUAUUGGUUUUAUAUAUUUGAUUAUUUUUUUUUGAUACGUUUUAACUAUAUAUUUUCCUUUUUUUGUAAAUAAGAAAAUAAUAAAAAAGUAGAAAAAAAUGAGCGUAGGUGUACCAGUAACAAAAUCUUUUAAUAAACUUAAGAAGUACCCGUAUGAAAUAAAUAAAUUUGAUAGAAGAGAAACAAAUGAAUAUUUCUAUUUACCCGUUGAUUGUCCGCGUAUGAAAAAAUGUGAUGAUGCAUAUUGUCCUUUAGCACAUACAAAAUUAGAAAAGAUAUUUCACCCUAUAGUUUACAAAACCCAAGCUUGUCAAAUGGCAAAAGAUGGUGCAUGUGAUUAUUUUCAGAAAUGUGCUUUUUAUCAUGAUUCGAAUGACAAGAAUGAAGCCUAUGUGAGUUGGACAAUUUGGGAAAAGAAGUGGGAUAAAUGGAGAAACAAUAUUGACAGUAUAUUAACACAACAUAAUAAAAAUGAUAAAGAAAUAAGAAGAAAAGUGGAAAGUAUACUAAAAAUUCGCAUGCCACAUUUUAAUUAUAACACUAGUAAAAAUAAUUUAUUUUUAAAUAAAACUGUAUCAUUUCACUCUACAUGGCCAAACUUGAGUACUAAGAAUAGUAUUAGCAAUAUUAGUAUAAAUAAUAGUAACAGUAUAAGUAAUAACAACAUGAGUAAUGGCAGUAACAUAAGUACUAACGUUGGGAGUAACCUUAGUAGUAGUAAUCUUGGUAGUAUAAGUUUAGCAAGUGAUAGUAUGAGUACUACUAGUAAUACUAAUAAUAGUUGUAAUCUCAACAUUAAUAAUAAUAAUAAAAUUAAUGGUUUAAAUAAUAUUUUAUGUAACUCGUGGAAUUCAUCUCUUACUCAGCGUUCGAAUACGUGUUUUAAUAAUACCUGGACUAAAAGUUUAAGUGGAAAUAGAAAAAAUAUAAAAAAUAAUAAUAAUACUAAUACUAAUAAUAACAAUAAUAAUAAUAAUUAUAAUAAAAAUAAUAACAGUCAUAAUAAUAGUAAUAAUAGCCACCAUACUAAUAAUAACAAUAAUAACAAUAAUAGUAAUAAUAAUAACAGUAUGUGUUGGGUAAAUGACGCAAGUGAUAAAACUACAACUACUACUACUGGGACUACUGUUACUGCGGCUGCAGGGACUACAACGAAUGCUACUUCGACUACCUCUGCUACUAAUAAAAAUAAUUCAGUAAAUUUUGAUAAAAGUGCUUAUAACAAUAAUCAACUUUUUGUUAAUAGCACUAAUAUAUAUAACGAUGAAACAUUAAAUUAUAAUGGUAAUAGUAAUAAUAAUGAUUAUAACGUAAAUUUCGAUAUAUUAGAUAACAAUGCAUACAAAGUGGUUGAAUUUUGUUUUACUGAUUAUGAAAACAGUAAUAAGAAUAAAAAUAAUUGGAAAAAUAACUCAGACAUUAUAAAUAUGAAAACGUUAAAUACAUUUUUUUCGUCUGAAUUAAAUAAGAUAGAAAAUGGAAAAAAAAAUUUAGAAAAUAUUAGUAACAACAGCAAUAAUAGUAAUAGUAAUAAUACUACUACUAAUAACGUAUAUAUACAGGAUCAUGAUAUAUUUAAUUAUUUACAUUAUAAUAAAACAUAUGAUUAUAUAUAUAAUAUAUCAGAAGACGUGAAUGAAAAUAUAUGUAAAAAAUCAAACACAUUGCCAAAUAAUUUUAAAGAUCAAUUUUUAUCUGAUAUAAUAAACACAUCAGGAGAAAAUAAUUUUAAUUUAUUAAACACAAGAUACUUUUCAAAUAAUCUUAAUGGUACGUCAACAUUUGAUAAUUAUACAAAUUUUUCAAAUUUGUUUGACGUAAAUGAUAAUAACAAUAAUGACAAUAACAAGGGCAAUAAUAAUGGUAAUAAUAAUGGUAAUAAUAAUGGUAAUAAUAAUGAUAGUAAUAAUAACAGUAAUACUACUAUACCUAGUAAUAAUACUGAUAAUAGUAAUACUAUACCUAGUAAUGAUAAUAACACUAAUAACAGUAAUAAUAGUAAUAGUAAUAACAGUAAUAAUAAUAAUAAUAAUAGUAAUAGUAAUAACACUAAUAACAAUAACAGUAAUAACAGUAAUAACAGUAAUAAUAAUAACAGUAAUAAUAAUAACAGUAAUAAUAAGAAAAAGAACAAUAACAACAAUAAUAAUUUUAAUAAAUCAAGUAACCUUGGAAACUUGGUACAUUGUAAUUCAUUUGAGCAAUUGUGUUAUAAAGAUAUAAAUAAAAAUAAUGUGAAUGAAUUUUUUUCAUCAAAUGAAAUUGUAGAUAAUACAAAAAAAAUAAAAAUAAUGAAAAACGUUUCUGAUACUAAUAAUGGAAUAGUAUUUGUUGAUAAUGAAAAUACAAAAGAUAAAACAAAUGAUACAGGUCUUGCGACAGAAGAUAAGAAAGAAAAAGAUGAAAAAGGAAAAAACAAGGAGAUGAAAAACAAACGAAAACAGAAGUUACAGAAAAUAAUGUAUACAAGAGUUCGAAUAAAGCUUUAAAAAAAAAUAAGAAUAAGAAAAAUAAUGCAAAUAAUGCAAAUAAUGCAAAUAAUGUAAA
rnacentral:lncRNA from 1 species